UACAGAGGUCCCAAGCGUUGUUCGGAUUCACUGGGCGUAAAGGGCGCGUAGGCGGCGCGAGCAGUCGAUCGUGAAAGUCCGGAGCUCAACUCCGGAUCGGCGGUCGAUACUCUCGUGCUUGAGCACUGUAGAGGCAGAUGGAAUUCCGGGUGUAGCGGUGGAAUGCGUAGAGAUCCGGAAGAACACCGGUGGCGAAGGCGGUCUGCUGGGCAGUUGCUGACGCUGAUGCGCGACAGCGUGGGGAGCAAACAGG
rnacentral:rRNA from 1 species